rnacentral:piRNA from 1 species
UCAGCAAACAUUAGAGUGCCAUUCAGAGA